rnacentral:miRNA from 1 species
UGCAUCACAGCCUUUGGCCCUAG